rnacentral:rRNA from 1 species
GACGUAGGGUGCGAGCGUUAAUCGGAAUUACUGGGCGUAAAGCGUGCGCAGGCGGUUCGCCAAGUCAGGUGUGAAAUCCCCGGGCUUAACCUGGGAAUUGCGCUUGAAACUAGCGGGCUUGAGUGUGGCAGAGGGGGGUGGAAUUCCACGUGUAGCAGUGAAAUGCGUAGAGAUGUGGAGGAACACCGAUGGCGAAGGCAGCCCCCUGGGUCAACACUGACGCUCAUGCACGAAAGCGUGGGGAGCAAACAGG